rnacentral:lncRNA from 14 species
CCCCAGCAAACCUGAAAUGUGUGUUGCUUUCUGUUUUACACAGCUCCCAAGGGCAGGGAGAGGAAUUAAACCCAUCCAGAGUGGGGCCGUUUGCCCUCAGUGAAGGAGGAUCUGGCAUGGAGGUGCUAAUGUGCCUAAUAGAGCCAUCACGGUGGGAAAGUGUCGGGAGUCUCUUUUCCAAUGGAGCUCAUCUAAAUACCAGUCCUCCUUGACAGCACGUGUUUGGGGCUAUAAAAACUAUCAAAGAAAAGGAUCUUUGCAUUGAAUUCACUUCCCAAAUGGAUAUCUUCCAUGGUUGACCUCGGGGGCGCCUCAGGAGCAGGGCUUGGAGCAUCAGCGGCUGCUCAGAGAGACAGUGCCUGAGCUGAAGUACGGCACACUGUCAUGCAAAGCAACCACCACUUUAGAGUGUGAUAUGGAGACAGAAAAUGGAAGAAGAGGUAGAUUUCCUUGGGAGAUGGGACCAGGAGCUCUUGGUUUCUGGCCUGGCAGAGGAUUCUGCAAAGUGAAGCACCCUCGAUAGCCGCCUGCCAUCAAGUGGCACUACAAACCCUCCUUCUCUUCCAAGGAGAUAAAACCAGUCUACGGACACAGUGCGUUUAAUCUGAUUUAGAUACAGCUGGUGUGCUGGGAGCUGAAGCUUCGUAUGAUACAGCAUGCAUUUGAAUAAACACCAUGAACAUAUUCCCAGACCUGGCCAGCUUGGGAGAGCAUUUCAUAAGGUUUCUAGACAAAGAUCCAGCAAAGAAAUCAGUGCACUGCACAAGGACGCCAGGCUCAGAGCACAGAUAAAGUUUACUCCAGUGAUAAAAUCUGCUCAUCACCUUGGCCACCUCCUUAUAUUUUCUAAGGUACCUGGUAGGCAGAAAUACAGUCCAGAACAAUGAGGACCCAGACCCGAUUGCCAUGUCUAAAAUCUGAACGUGACUUGGCCUCAUCUGGGUUUGAACGCUGGAAUAACAAAGCUCACGGGAUCUGGCCGGUGUCUGACAGCCAGAGCUUCUGGGUUUCCAACAGCCAACUUCAUUCUGAGAGAAGAAAAAAGAAUAAUAAAGUAUCAGGCUAAGGCUGAGGCA